UCCACCAUGUUUUCCACCCUGCGGUAACGCCGCCGCCGCCGCUCCGCCUGGCCGUCCGGAACCUUGAGAGCUGGCGUCACUUCUCUACUAAGGGUAGGGAGCCUGCUGACAAAGCUGAGAGUGUUCUGCGUCUGUGGUGGCAGCGGGCUAGGAACCGUGUGGAAAAUGCUGAUUUAGCGCAGAGUGCCAAGUCUGCCUUUUGUGUUUAGACUGGUCGGUUUAGGGGGAUCGACGUGCUAUGUGGUGAAGUCGAUGUGGGAUCUCCACCAUUGACCAUGAUGAUGAAGACUGGAUCAUGGUGGUGAUAGUUUUGUUUAUCGGCGCGUUACUAUUUUUCAAACUGUGAACCCCCCAGGGGCUGGGGUGGUGGCGUGUGUCUUGGGUGUGUGGUGGUGUGUGUAACUUGGCUAUUUUGACCUUUUCCUCUUCUUAAUGCAAUGAUAUGUAGCUCUCCUGCAUAUUCGAGAAUGAAGACUGGAUCAUGAAGUGGCUGAGUUUGAUUUCAUUUGCAUGGUUAACUGGCUGGUGAUAUUUACCUAAGUAUUUCCUUUUCUGAAGCAGUACAUGUUUAAUUAAAUGCCAAAAAUCUUAA